rnacentral:rRNA from 1 species
UACGGGGGGUGCGAGCGUUGUCCGGAAUCACUGGGCGUAAAGGGCGCGUAGGUGGUCUGAUAAGGGUGUGGUGAAAGCCCGGGGCUCAACCCCGGGUCGGCCGUGCCGACUGUUAGACUAGAGUGCUGUAGGGGCAGGCGGAAUUCCGGGUGUAGCGGUGGAAUGCGUAGAGAUCCGGAGGAAGACCGGUGGCGAAGGCGGCCUGCUGGGCAGAUACUGACACUGAGGCGCGACAGCGUGGGGAGCAAACAGGG